UCCCUCUUGGCAACAGAGAGAGACACUUUGUUAUUGGUGUCCUUAUGGCAGUCAGGGGCAGAGCAGAUGGCAGUCCUUUGUUCAUCCUAGCUUGAUGCCUGGCUUGGUGGCUACAGCUGUCUUAUGCCUAGGACUCAUAA